rnacentral:rRNA from 1 species
CACGUAGUUAGCCGUGGCUUUCUAAUGAGGUACCGUCAAGGUACAAGCAGUUACUCUUGUACUUGUUCCUCCCUCAUAACAGAGCUUUACGAUCCGAAAACCUUCUUCGCUCACGCGGCAUUGCACCAUCAGACUUUCGUCCAUUGUGGAUGAUUCCCUACUGCUGCCUCCCGUAGGAGUCUGGGCCGUGUCUCAGUCCCAGUGUGGCCGAUCACCCUCUCAGGUCGGCUACGCAUCGUCGCCUUGGUAAGCCAUUACCUUACCAACUAGCUAAUGCGCCGCGGGCCCAUCCUAUAGCGACAGCCGAAGCCGUCUUUCAGAACUCCUUCAUGAGAAGAAGUUAAUCAUUCGGUAUUAGCCCCGGUUUCCCGGAGUUAUCCCCAACUACAGGGCAGGUUGCCCACGUGUACUCACCCAUUCGCCGCUAACGUCAGAGGAGCAAGCUCCUCGUCUGUUCGCUCGACUUGCAUGUAUUAGGCAUGCCGCCAGCGUUCGU